GACGAACGCUGGCGGCGUGCCUAAUACAUGCAAGUCGAACGAACUCUGGUAUUGAUUGGUGCUUGCAUCAUGAUGUACAUUUGAGUGAGUGGCGAACUGGUGAGUAACACGUGGGAAACCUGCCCAGAAGCGGGGGAUAACACCUGGAAACAGAUGCUAAUACCGCAUAACAACUUGGACCGCAUGGUCCGAGCUUGAAAGAUGGCUUCGGCUAUCACUUUUGGAUGGUCCCGCGGCGUAUUAGCUAGAUGGUGGGGUAACGGCUCACCAUGGCAAUGAUACGUAGCCGACCUGAGAGGGUAAUCGGCCACAUUGGGACUGAGACACGGCCCAAACUCCUACGGGAGGCAGCAGUAGGGAAUCUUCCACAAUGGACGAAAGUCUGAUGGAGCAACGCCGCGUGAGUGAAGAAGGGUUUCGGCUCGUAAAACUCUGUUGUUAAAGAAGAACAUAUCUGAGAGUAACUGUUCAGGUAUUGACGGUAUUUAACCAGAAAGCCACGGCUAACUACGUGCCAGCAGCCGCGGUAAUACGUAGGUGGCAAGCGUUGUCCGGAUUUAUUGGGCGUAAAGCGAGCGCAGGCGGUUUUUUAAGUCUGAUGUGAAAGCCUUCGGCUCAACCGAAGAAGUGCAUCGGAAACUGGGAAACUUGAGUGCAGAAGAGGACAGUGGAACUCCAUGUGUAGCGGUGAAAUGCGUAGAUAUAUGGAAGAACACCAGUGGCGAAGGCGGCUGUCUGGUCUGUAACUGACGCUGAGGCUCGAAAGUAUGGGUAGCAAACAGGAUUAGAUACCCUGGUAGUCCAUACCGUAAACGAUGAAUGCUAAGUGUUGGAGGGUUUCCGCCCUUCAGUGCUGCAGCUAACGCAUUAAGCAUUCCGCCUGGGGAGUACGGCCGCAAGGCUGAAACUCAAAGGAAUUGACGGGGGCCCGCACAAGCGGUGGAGCAUGUGGUUUAAUUCGAAGCUACGCGAAGAACCUUACCAGGUCUUGACAUACUAUGCAAAUCUAAGAGAUUAGACGUUCCCUUCGGGGACAUGGAUACAGGUGGUGCAUGGUUGUCGUCAGCUCGUGUCGUGAGAUGUUGGGUUAAGUCCCGCAACGAGCGCAACCCUUAUUAUCAGUUGCCAGCAUUAAGUUGGGCACUCUGGUGAGACUGCCGGUGACAAACCGGAGGAGGGUGGGGAUGACGUCAAAUCAUCAUGCCCCUUAUGACCUGGGCUACACACGUGCUACAAUGGAUGGUACAACGAGUUGCGAACUCGCGAGAGUAAGCUAAUCUCUUAAAGCCAUUCUCAGUUCGGAUUGUAGGCUGCAACUCGCCUACAUGAAGUCGGAAUCGCUAGUAAUCGCGGAUCAGCAUGCCGCGGUGAAUACGUUCCCGGGCCUUGUACACACCGCCCGUCACACCAUGAGAGUUUGUAACACCCAAAGUCGGUGGGGUAACCUUUUAGGAACCAGCCGCCUAAGGUGGGACAGAUGAUUAGGGUGAAG
rnacentral:rRNA from 1 species